rnacentral:rRNA from 1 species
CCUACGGGAGGCAGCAGUGAGGAAUAUUGGUCAAUGGCCGGAAGGCUGAACCAGCCAUGCCGCGUGAAGGUCAGUGCCCUAUGGGCGUUAAACUUCUUUUGUGCGGGAGCAAUAAUGGUCACGUGUGGCCAGACGAGAGUACCGUACGAAUAAGCAUCGGCUAACUCCGUGCCAGCAGCCGCGGUAAUACGGGGGAUGCAAGCGUUAUCCGGAUUUAUUGGGUUUAAAGGGUGCGUAGGCUGGGAGGUAAGUCAGCGGGGAAAUGCCCCCGCGCAACGGGGUGACGUGCCAUUGAUACUGCCUUGCUGGAAUGCGGAUGACGUGGGAGGAAUGUGUGGUGUAGCGGUGAAAUGCAUAGAUAUCACACAGAACACCGAUUGCGAAGGCAUCUCACGAAUCCGCGAUUGACGCUGAUGUACGAAAGCGUGGGUAUCAAACAGGAUUAGAUACCCUAGUAGUC